GAUGUCACAGCAGAGAUCACCUGCUGAGGUUCAAGUGAAAUGUUUUUACACGGUAACGUUUGAAGGGUCAAAUCCUCCAUCUCCACACAGUGACCCGUCCUCCAUCACAGUACGCAGUCAAAAACCACAGAUGACUCUUCAACAUGAACCCGGUGAAUACGUUCUCUUUUCCUGCACUCUGCCUGGAUCUGCUGAUCAUGAUGCGAGAUGUAACCUGUACUUUGGAGAAAAUAAUCAUCCAGUCCAAACAGCAACCAGCUGGAAGAAAAGGGAUUCUAAGAAUCGGCUGAUCUGCCAGUUUACUGUCAAAAUGUAUGACUUUCUAAGAAGUUUACAUCUUCUUAAAAGACAUGAUGCCAGCUGUGAUUAUAGUUUGGGAAGUGAAGCCAACUCUUUGUCUCCUCGUAGCGAUGGAUACAGCUUGACUGAUAUUGUGGAAAAAGAAUCAUGGAUGCUCUCCACAAAAUCAGCUACUAUCCCCCCAGAUAUCGUGGAAAAGGACACACGUUUGACGAAGACUAUGUUGACAUCUACUAUGACCACAGGUCUUACUGUUGGAUCAAGAAACACUGGUAGUUUUAUCUCUACUUCCAUAAAACCAGUGAAACCAACACAAGGUCAGAAUCCUUAUACGUCUAGCACUCAAGAUAUUUUCUCAUCUGUGAUCCCAGAGAACCCAUCACCAGAAACAUGGAAGUUGGUAAUUGUUGCGUCUUCUUUUGGAGGUGUUAUCGUACUGGGACUGGCAUUUCUAUUCACCAAAAGAACAACUGAUGCCAGUGGAUAUAUGGGAAAACUCAGCGGUGGAGAGGUAAUUCAACACUUCUGUAUGCAUCCAGUCAGUGAUCCUGCUGCUAACUCUCACUUUACCUUCCCCCUGUCUUCCUGAUAAAGUACUUACCGAGUGGUUAUGAUGAGACGUACAGCAUUGUGACUUAUGAACGCAGCAACAUCGAAUGACAAAUGCUGACCACAG